GACGAACGCUGGCGGCGUGCUCAACACAUGCAAGUCGCACGGGGCAGCAAUGCCCAGUGGCGAACGGGUGCGUAACACGUGAGGAACAUGACUUCCGGUGGGGGAUAGCCGGCCUAACGGCCGGGUAAUACCGCAUACGCUGCGCGAGGGGCAUCCCUCGUGUCGGAAAGCAGCAAUGCGCCGGAAAGGUGCCUCGCGGC
rnacentral:rRNA from 1 species